rnacentral:rRNA from 1 species
UACGUAGGUGGCGAGCGUUGUCCGGAUUUACUGGGCGUAAAGAGCGCGCAGGCGGUCGUACAAGUCGCGUGUGAAAGCCCCUGGCUCAGCUGGGGAGGGUCACGCGAUACUGUUCGACUUGAAGGCAGGAGAGGGAAGUGGAAUUCCCGGUGUAGUGGUGAAAUGCGUAGAGAUGUGGAGGAACACCAGUGGCGAAGGCGACUCUUUGGCCUGUAACUGACGCUGAGGCGCGAAAGCGUGGGGAGCAAACAGG